rnacentral:rRNA from 1 species
UGGGGAAUAUUGGACAAUGGGCGAAAGCCUGAUCCAGCCAUGCCGCGUGUGUGAAGAAGGUCUUCGGAUUGUAAAGCACUUUAAGUUGGGAGGAAGGGCAUUAACCUAAUACGUUAGUGUUUUGACGUUACCGACAGAAUAAGCACCGGCUAACUCUGUGCCAGCAGCCGCGGUAAUACAGAGGGUGCAAGCGUUAAUCGGAAUUACUGGGCGUAAAGCGCGCGUAGGUGGUUUGUUAAGUUGGAUGUGAAAUCCCCGGGCUCUACCUGGGAACUGCAUUCAAAACUGACUGACUAGAGUAUGGUAGAUGGUGGUGGAAUUUCCUGUUUAGCGGUGAAAUGCGUAGAUAUAGGAAGGAACACCAGUGGCGAAGGCGACCACCUGGACUAAUACUGACACUGAGGUGCGAAAGCGUGGGGAGCAAACA